UACGGAGGGUGCGAGGGUUAAUCGGAAUGACUGGGCGUAAAGGGCAUGUAGGCGGAGGAUUAAGUUAGGUGUGAAAGCCCCGGGCUCAACCCGGGAAUAGCAUUUAAAACUGGGGGUCUGGAGUACUGUAGAGGGAGGUAGAAUUCCACGUGUAGCGGUGAAAUGCGUAGAGAUGUGGAGGAAUACCGGUGGCGAAGGCGGCCUUCUGGACAGAUACUGACGCUGAGAUGCGAAAGCGUGGGGAGCAAACAGG
rnacentral:rRNA from 1 species